ensembl:miRNA microRNA 217
AAUAUGACUUAUCACAGAGUUUUUUGAUGUCGUAGAUACUGCAUCAGGAACUGAUUGUAUAAGAAUGUGCCACCAUCAGUUCCUAAUGCAUUACCUUCAGCAUCUAAACAAG